rnacentral:rRNA from 1 species
UACGUAGGCAGCAAACGUUGUUCGGAAUUACUGGGCGUAAAGAGUGUGUAGGCGGUUUUGUAAGUUUGGUGUGAAAUCUCCCGGCUUAACUGGGAGGGUGCGCCGAAAACUGCAAGGCUUGAGUGCUGGAGAGGAGAGCGGAAUUCCUGGUGUAGCGGUGAAAUGCGUAGAUAUCAGGAGGAACACCGGCGGUGUAGACGGCUCUCUGGACAGUAACUGACGCUGAGACACGAAAGCGUGGGGAGCAAAC